AAAAGCGGUCUCAGUUCGGAUUGAAGGCUGAAAUUCGCCUUCAUGAAGCCGGAAUUGCUAGUAAUCGCGGAUCAGCAUGCCGCGGUGAAUACGUUCCCGGGCCUUGUACACACCGCCCGUCACACCAUGAGAGCCGGGAACACCCGAAGUCCGUAGUCUAACCGCAAGGAGGACGCGGCCGAAGGUGGGUUUGGUAAUUGGGGUGAAGUCGUAACAAGGUAAC
rnacentral:rRNA from 1 species